rnacentral:rRNA from 1 species
CGCGUAGGCGGGCCGCCAAGUCGGAUGUGAAAACUGUCGGCUUAACUGACAGCCUGCAUUCGAUACUGGCGGUCUUGAGUACAGGAGAGGAGAGCGGAAUUCCAGGUGUAGCGGUGAAAUGCGUAGAUAUCUGGAAGAACACCGGUAGCGAAGGCGGCUCUCUUGGCCUGAUACUGACGCUCAAGCGCGAAGGCUUGGGGAGCAAACA